rnacentral:rRNA from 1 species
AUGGGGUCCUUGCCGCCGGGAGAGAAGCCGCACGCCGUGAUGAUCCCCUACCCGGCGCAGGGUCACAUCACGCCGAUGCUGAAGCUGGCCAAGCUGCUCCACACCAGGGGCUUCCACGUCACCUUCGUCAACAACGAGUUCAACCACCGCCGCCUGCUGCGCUCGCAGGGCGCGGACGCGCUGCAUGGCCUGCCCGCGUUUCGGUUCGCUGCCAUCGCCGACGGCCUCCCGCCGUCCGACCGCGAGGCCACGCAGGACGUUCCUGCGCUGUGCUACUCCACCAUGACCACCUGCCUCCCCGGGUUCAAGGAGCUCGUCGCCAAGCUCAACGAGGAGGCCGAGACCUUCGGUGGCGCGCUGCCGCCGGUCACCUGCGUGGUGGCCGAUAGCACCAUGACCUUCGCCCUCCGCGCCGCGCGGGAGCUUGGCCUCCGCUGCGCCACGCUCUGGACCGCCAGCGCUUGUGGUUUCAUGGGCUACUGCCACUUCAAGGAUCUAGUCCACCGCGGGCUCUUCCCUCUCAAAGAAGAGGCUCAGUUGAGCGAUGGAUACUUGGACACGACCAUCGACUGGAUACCGGCGGCGCCCAAGGACCUGCGGCUGCGUGACCUCCCGAGCUUCUUCCGCACCACCGACCCCGAUGACAUCAUGUUCAACUUCUUCAUCCACGAGACGGCCGGCAUGUCGCAGGCGUCGGGGGUGGUCAUCAACACCUUCGACGAGCUCGACGCGCCACUGCUUGAUGCCAUGUCCAAGCUCCUGCCGCCCGUCUACACAGUGGGGCCGCUCCAUCUCACGGUUCGCAACAACGUGCCGGAGGAUAGCCCCGUCGCCGGCAUCGGGUCCGACCUGUGGAAGGAAGAGGAUGCGCCCCUCCGGUGGCUCGACGGCCGACCGCCGCGCUCCAUGGUGUACGUCAACUUCGGGAGCAUCACGGUGAUGUCGAACGAGCACUUGCUGGAAUUCGCGUGGGGGCUGGCCAACACCGGCUACGCCUUCCUGUGGAACGUGCGGCCUGACCUCGUCAAGGGCGACGGGGCCGCACUUCCAACGGAGUUCUCCGCGGCGAUGGAGGGACGGAGCAUGCUGUCGACGUGGUGCCCGCAGGAGAAGGUGCUGGAGCACGAGGCCGUUGGGGUGUUCCUGACGCACUCCGGGUGGAACUCGGCGUUGGAGAGCAUCUGCGGCGGCGUGCCGAUGGUGUGCUGGCCGUUCUUUGCGGAGCAGCAGACCAACUAUCGGUACAAGUGCACGGAGUGGGGCAUCGGAAUGGAGAUUGGGGACGAUGUGAGGAGGGCCGAGGUCGAGGCCAUGAUACGGGAGACCAUGGAGGGGGAGAAAGGCCGAGAGAUGCGGCGGCGCGUGCUGGAGCUCCGCGGGAGCGCGGUGGCCUCCGCACGGCGUGGCGGAAGGUCCAUGCGCAACGUUGAUAGGCUCAUCCACGAGGUGCUGCUGGCUUGA